rnacentral:rRNA from 1 species
AUUGAACGCUGGCGGCAGGCUUAACACAUGCAAGUCGAGCGGGGGAAGGUAGCUUGCUACCGGACCUAGCGGCGGACGGGUGAGUAAUGCUUAGGAAUCUGCCUAUUAGUGGGGGACAACAUCUCGAAAGGGAUGCUAAUACCGCAUACGUCCUACGGGAGAAAGCAGGGGAUCUUCGGACCUUGCGCUAAUCGAUGAGCCUAAGUCGGAUUAGCUAGUUGGUGGGGUCAAGGCCUACCAAGGCGACGAUCUGUAGCGGGUCUGAGAGGAUGAUCCGCCAGACUGGGACUGAGACACGGCCCGGACUCCUACGGGAGGCAGCAGUGGGGAAUAUUGGACAAUGGGGGGAACCCUGAUCCAGCCAUGCCGCGUGUGUGAAGAAGGCCUUAUGGUUGUAAAGCACUUUAAGCGAGGAGGAGGCUACUCUAGUUAAUACCUAGGGAUAGUGGACGUUACUCGCAGAAUAAGCACCGGCUAACUCUGUGCCAGCAGCCGCGGUAA